GACGAACUGUGCAAACGUUAUUCGGAAUCACUGGGCUUGAAGAGUGCGUAGGCGGUUUCGUAAGUAGGGUGUGAAGGCCCCCAGCUCAACUGGGGAACUGCGUCCUAAACUGCGAGGCUGGAGUGAGGUAGGGGUGUGUGGAACUUCCGGUGGAGCGGUGAAAUGUGUUGAUAUCGGAAGGAACGCCGGUGGCGAAAGCGACACACUGGGCCUUGUCUGACGCUGAGGCACGAAAGCCAGGGGAGCAAACGGG
rnacentral:rRNA from 1 species